GAUAAAUUCACCUAUUUAACUAGCUGCCGAAUAGGCAUCAACUCACCACGUAGCUUAUUCUUAAUGUUUGUCCAUAGGCUACCAGAGUGAGGACAGACAUUUUUCGGAAAAAACGUGGUGAGUGAGAAACUGAAUGAAAUAGCCCACUCCAUACCCGGUAUCUUAUUCUGCCGCUAUACAAUUUUGUAUCCGUUGUUUGCUGGCAACCUUGUUAUUUACGAACUUUUUGGAACAAAUUCCUGUUGGAACGUUCCACAAAUUACACCCAGCUGACUGCGAGGGAACGUGCUUCGGUCGACAAUGUUCGGCUACUGUUUACAUAAUGUGCAACAAUGCCUCUGGAGAUUGAAAAUACAAGCGACAGAACCUACCGUCGCAGCAAAAAGUCGGAUGGAAGUGUAGGGCAUUCCAGAAGGUACCGUGCGAUGAUGCAGAUGAGACAGAAGGCGAAGUAGAAGACUGAGGUGAAAAUCAUCACUCCCCAAUCAAUCAUCAAUCAGAAGACACACCUCCUCCUAUUUCCUACCCUAUCACAGUUCCUUCCCCAUGGUUUAAAAACCCCAUCAUUUGUUUGCUCUGGAGCAAUCUCUCGCUCAAUCUCUCUGUAAAUGCCAUGUCUGUAGGUCUCUGUGUUUCACUCUCACUUUGUGUCUUAACCUCUCUUUUGUUUAAAGCACCUCCAUAGCACUUUGUCAUCACCUGUGAGUAUUGUUUUGGUUAUGGUGUUUUUGUUUGUUGCUGGUGGGAAAAGGGGGAAACCAAGACAAGUCGCCCAUGGGCAUACACUACCCGUAGGUGAACUUUGUUAAAUACACUAGUUAGAACUGGGCGGACCACCCACUGUAUUUUUGGUUAGUUAGUUAGCUGUUGUUAAAGUAGGCUAGUCUAGCUUAGGGGUGUUUUGGAUGCUUAUUGUUUCUUUCCUUGGGUCCAGCUCAGCCCCUUUUCCUGCUCCCCCCAUU